rnacentral:tRNA from 1 species
GAGAUAUUAGUAAAUAA